GUCUAUGGCCAUGCUACCCUGAACAAGCUUGAUCCCAUCUGAUCUCGGAAGCUAAGCAAGGUUGGGCAUGGUUAGUACUUGGAUGGGAGACCACCUAGAAGACCAGGUGCUGUAGGCA
rnacentral:rRNA from 1 species